rnacentral:rRNA from 1 species
AAUGAACGCUGGCGGCAUGCCUAACACAUGCAAGUCGAACGAAGGCUUCGGCCUUAGUGGCGCACGGGUGCGUAACGCGUGGGAAUCUGCCCUUGGGUUCGGAAUAACAGUUAGAAAUGACUGCUAAUACCGGAUGAUGUCGUAAGACCAAAGAUUUAUCGCCCAAGGAUGAGCCCGCGUAGGAUUAGCUAGUUGGUGGGGUAAAGGCCUACCAAGGCGACGAUCCUUAGCUGGUCUGAGAGGAUGAUCAGCCACACUGGGACUGAGACACGGCCCAGACUCCUACGGGAGGCAGCAGUGGGGAAUAUUGGACAAUGGGCGAAAGCCUGAUCCAGCGAUGCCGCGUGAGUGAUGAAGGCCUUAGGGUUGUAAAGCUCUUUUACCCGGGAUGAUAAUGACAGUACCGGGAGAAUAAGCUCCGGCUAACUUCGUG